rnacentral:lncRNA from 1 species
UAAAAUGGAGAAGGGUGGAGGGAUUUUGAGGAGCAUGAUAAAGCCUGCAUCUCCUUGUAGAAAUGUGGAUGGUUGCUUUGGGAGGCCGAGGCAGGAGUAUUUCUUUCUGGGACGUGUACUCGAAAAACUAAAAAUGGGGCAGCCAACAUGUAACACAACAUUUUCCACUGAUGUGGGAAGAGGAAAGAUCGCUGGACAAGAACCUGGGAUCACGAGAGCAUGGGUGGGGUCAUGCACCUGCGUCACCACCAACACGAGCCUGUGUGAUGGGUUCCUCCGCAUCCCACAGCCCUCAGUGAACCGCUACUGCAGUGCUUCAUGAGCGUGGAGGAAAUGGCCCUUCCCAUGCCUGCCCAGCUUGCUAGACAGGGAGACAGGGCUGGUGCAUGUCACCUCCUGCCUGCAGUGCUGAAUGCUGUGUUGGUGUGGGAUGGGAGGAAGGGAAAUGGACCCAUCGCAGCACUAGCUCUUGGGGGCUCUCUGUGACCUUGACUAGCUACUUCCUCUCCUUUUCCUCAGUCUCUCCUCCCAAACCAUAAGAAAAGUAGAUGAAGGGAAUGGAAAUAAUGGAAUAUAAAACAUACAGACAUUAUGACAACUAUUUACAACACAUAAUCUCUGUGUGUUAUGUGUAAAAAAUGAUGGGAAGAAAACACAUUUUAAUUUUAACAGUGGUCUCUCUGAGUCUGGCCACCCUAGGCUUCUACUUUUUAUAUUUCCCAAAUAUUACUUUUACAAGAAAAAAAUUCAACUAUUUAAUUUUUUUAACAAAACACACAGCUUUCUCCUCUUUUGAGGCUCAUACCUACCUGAUUCUGGCCCAUCCCAUGACAGAGGUACAGAAUGACCUGGUGUCCCACAAUCUGGUUUUCAUCGGGAGGGUUAUAGUCAAAGCAGUAGUCUGUUAGUCCUUUGUUCUGGAGCUAAAUAAAACAUAAAUGUGGCAUUUCAGUCCAGAUUUAUAGACACUAACAGAUGCCACACAAGGCUUGGGGAUGUGGAAGGAAGGAGGGCAAUAGAAAAUCACCAUGGGAACACCACUGUAACACUUGCCUCAGUGAGACUCACCAAUGAAUGCAAAGUUAAUGGGCAGAACCUUAAUAAAUAUUUACCCAAAAACUUCUCCCAAAGGAUAUUUUAUUUUGUAUAUUUAUUUAUUUAUUUAUUUAUUUAUUUUGAGACAGAGUCUCGCUUUGUCACCCAGGCUGGAGUGCAGUGGUGCGAUCUCGGCUCACUGCAACCUCUGCCUCCCGGGUUCAAGUGAUUCUCCUGCCUCAGCCUCCCAAGUAGCUAGGACUACAGGCACCCACCACCACACUUGGCUAAUUUUUGUAUUUUUUAGUAGAGAUGGGGUUUCACCAUAUUGGCUAGGCUGCUCUUGAACUCUUGACCUUGUGAUCCACCUGCCUCAGCCUCCCAAAGUGCUGGGAUUACAGGCAUGAGCCACCAUGCCCAGCCCAAAUAAUAUUAAAAAGAAAAAUAGUGACUUUAUAAUGGAGAAACCCAGCAGACAUCCCCUCAUGUAAGUGAUGAAGGUUACCAUCACCAGUAAUCAGAUACUGUGUCCUCUCUGCAUAACGAUGCACUGAAUGGGCAUAUCACUUCAUUGCCCCCUACAUUCACAAGCACAUCUAAUUAUGGGAAAACUUAAGAUAAUCCCAAAAUGAUGUGCAUUCUUCAAAAUACCUGACCAAGAUUUCCCAAGUGUCAGGGUCAUGAAAGACAAGGAAAGACAGCGCUGUCACAGGUCAGAGGAGCCUACAGAGAUACAGCACAGCUCCAUGCAGUGUGGGUUCCUGGAUCAGAUCUUGGACCAGCAUAAGGACAUAAGCAAAACAGCCAGGGAAACAGAGUGAAGUCUGUAGUUUAGUUAAUAGUGUUGUGUCAAUGUCAGCUUGUUAGUUUUGAUCAUUAUACUGUGACGAUGUAGAUAUUAAUAUCAGGAAGCUGUGUGAGGGGUAUGUGGGAACUCUGUUCUCUCUGUGCAGCUCUUCUAUACGUCUAGAAUUAUUUUAAUGUAAAAAGCCUUUGUUUUAAAGCUAACCAAUGAGAAAAAGGGAAGAAUACGUGUUCUUUGGUGAUGUUGUUAUGCCACCCACAUCAUUUUUCAUAAUGGAGAAGGUAAGAAGCCCAGGACUACUUCCCAGGUGAGAUCUGCGACUCCUGUCUUGGAAUCACCGUGGCCCCAUGGUGAUCAGGGGACGUUUGUAGCCAGCAAGCUGCUUAGAUAAUUAGCUACCCUGCCUUUUAAAACUGAUAUAUUUCUUGAUAACAUAUGACUUUAGGAUACCUGGGGUCAUUGCAAAAACCUUUUGUUUGGAGGAGUGGCUUUGGAGUCAGCACAAGCUUCUAGUUCUCCAAAGAGGAAGCAUUUUAGGCCACUGCAUCGCAGAGCAGAGGAUGCAACUUUACAUAAACAACAUGCAAAUGCUUGGUGUUGCUUCAGAUAAUAAAAAUACAAGAGGUCCAACUCAUUUUCUUAUCCUUUUUAAAAAAAUAACAGCUUUUCUGAAAUCUUAAUUUAAUUCACCUAACAUACAAUUCACCCAUUUAAAAUGUGUAAUCUAAGUGUUUUUGAUAUAUUCACAGAGUUGUGCAACCAUCACCACAAUCUGUUUAGAACAUUUUAAUCACCCCAGAAAGAAACCCUGGAGCCAUUGGCAGUCACUCCCCAUUUUCCUCCAAUCCACCCAACCCCUGGCAACAGCCAAUCUACUUUCUGUCUCUUUGGAUUAACCUAUUCUGGACGUUUCCUAUAAAUGAAAUUAUACAAUAUAUGGUCCUUUGCGACAGCCUCUUUCACUCAGCAUGAUGUUUUCAAGGUUCACUUCCGAAUCUCUACCCAGGUGGGUCCCACGGCUGCAGUGCUUCUUCUCCCGGUCAGGGAGCUCUCCCCUCUAUUGUUCUCCCAGGGCCUCCCUAUGCACAUUCCUGAGCCCUGACUUCCCUGUCUUAAGCUCUGUCCCCUGUUUAAGGUACGUCAGGCUUUGAAGGCAGGUGCACUUGGUGUGAAUCCAGAUCACUACAUAUUGUGUGCUCCUUGGCUCCCUUCGCCUCCCUGAGUCUCAGUUUCUUCAUCUGUGAAAUGGGCAGGAACCAGUCCCUGCUUCUUGAGGUGCUCUGAGGAUGAAAGGAGAGAGUUGCCUAAAUGCAUUCCCUCCAGACUGUGACUGGCCUGUGGGGACAGGAGAAUAUGGAUUUGAUUCAUCUUAGGUCUGUCUUAAAGACGGAGGGAACCUCUGACAUCAUAGCUGUGUGUGAGUCCUUGAUGAAGAGUGAUCCUAACCACACUACCUCUGUGUAGAGUCUUCCAGUUUGUAGGGGACGGUCACC